AAAGUAUUCCCUCCGUCUGGAAAUACUUGUCAUCAAAAAGGAUAAAAGGGGCUGUAUCUAGAUGUAUUUUAGUUCUAGAUAUAUCUAUUUUUAUCUAUUUUGAUGACAAGUAUUUUCGGGCGGAGGGAGUAGUUA
rfam:Triticum urartu cultivar G1812 contig258983, whole genome shotgun sequence.